rnacentral:rRNA from 1 species
GAGUCAUUGGGACUCUACUAAACCAAAAGGCGCAAUGAAAGUAAAGGUCCGCCUCGCGCGGACCGAGGGAGGAUGGGCCCGUCCGCGGACGGGUGCCGCACUCCCGGGGCGUCUCGUUCUCAUCGCGAGAAGAGGCGCACCCAGAGCGUACACGCUGGGACCCGAAAGAUGGUGAACUAUGCCUGGUCAGGACGAAGUCAGGGGAAACCCUGAUGGAGGUCCGUAGCGAUUCUGACGUGCAAAUCGAUCGUCGGAACUGGGUAUAGGGGCGAAAGACUAAUCGAACCUUCUAGUAGCUGGUUCCCUCCGAAGUUUCCCUCAGGAUAGCUGGCGCUCGCCUUUGCGAGUCUCAUUCGGUAAAGCGAAUGAUUAGAGGCAUUGGGGUCGAAACGGCCUCAACCUAUUCUCAAACUUUAAAUGGGUGAGAUCUCCGGCUUGCUUGAAGCAUGAAGCCGCGAGAGAUCGGAUCACAGAGUGCCAAGUGGGCCACUUUUGGUAAGCAGAACUGGCGCUGUGGGAUGAACCAAACGCCGAGUUAAAGCGCCCAAAUCGACGCUUAUGGGAUACCAUGAAAGGCGUUGGUAACUUAAGACAGCAGGACGGUGG